ensembl:lncRNA
GUGCAAACUGCUGCUGUGGCACCCUGCUAUGACAACUCUGAUGAGGGUCCAUGGUCAAUGAUUGUUAUCUUAUAUAGUUUGUAUGGCCUGCUACCCGUGCCCUGCUACAUACAAAGCAGCAGCCCCAUGAUUAGUCUUAUGAGCGACACCUGUGUUAGUCCUAUGGUUAGAGCUCUGUGAAAGGGGUCCAAAAUGCAAUUAUAGACAUGGAUAUAAUUGUCUAUAAUAAUCUAUGAUUCGGAAAUGUGCUUAUAUUUCAGAAUUUGGGAUUUUAAGAUGUUCCAACCUGCUGUGCAGUCUCAUUGGUGGACAUCAUGGCUGGAUACUUGGAAGUGGGAAUGCAUCAGAUUCUAACUCUUCCUCAGACCGCUAUUAAAACAAAGGAGGAGAGGAUGAGGAGAAACAAAGAGAGUGGGGAGAAAGAAGAGACGAGACAGUAGGAAAAGACAAUGGAGAGGUGAGAGGAGAGAAGAGGCCACGUGGGAAGCUUAUCCACGCUCGUCCCGAAUCCCCAAAAGUUUGCCGUCUCCCCCCUAUCCUGCCCAUCUAAAUGGAAAUGGCCCGAUUGUGCUUGCAGCAACGCUUGCAAAUCUGCAGCUGAAGGAUUGGAUGCACAUGGGCCAUAUUUCCGCUGGGAUCACCUUUCAAUUCAACGUCUCCAGAGACCGGCAGAAGCAGUGGAGGCUC